GGCGAACGCUGGCGGCGUGCCUAAUACAUGCAAGUAGAACGCACAGUUUAUACCGUAGCUUGCUACACCAUAGACUGUGAGUUGCGAACGGGUGAGUAACGCGUAGGUAACCUGCCUGGUAGCGGGGGAUAACUAUUGGAAACGAUAGCUAAUACCGCAUAAUAUUAAUUAUUGCAUGAUAAUUAAUUGAAAGGUGCAAUUGCACCACUACCAGAUGGACCUGCGUUGUAUUAGCUAGUAGGUGAGGUAACGUCUCACCUAGGCGACGAUACAUAGCCGACCUGAGAGGGUGAUCGGCCACACUGGGACUGAGACACGGCCCAGACUCCUACGGGAGGCAGCAGUAGGGAAUCUUCGGCAAUGGACGAAAGUCUGACCGAGCAACGCCGCGUGAGUGAAGAAGGUUUUCGGAUCGUAAAGCUCUGUUGUAAGAGAAGAACGGGUGUGAGAGUGGAAAGUUCACGCUGUGACGGUAUCUUACCAGAAAGGGACGGCUAACUACGUG
rnacentral:rRNA from 1 species